GCUCCUAUGAUGAAAUUGGUAAACAUAAGGGACUUAAAAUCCCUUGCUCUUUAAGAGCUUAAGGGUUCAAGUCCCUUUAGGAGUA
rnacentral:tRNA from 1 species